rnacentral:lncRNA from 1 species
AAGGAAGAGCUAGCGGUGAAGGAAUCUGGGCAAGAUCAGAGGAAAAAGGAUGAAAACAGCGAAGGAAAAGAGAGCAUAGGGAGAUCGAGGGAGAUUCAAAAGAGAGUGAAGGGAUUCUUUGAAAUCCGAGACAUCUCACGUCCAUUUUACUUCGUCAGGGUCCUAAGGUAACUAUUGUUUCUUCCUUUGUGGCUUCAACAAUAUUUUUAUGAGAAUCCAAGCCUGGGGACAUGAAUCUUGGACUGUUUACUGCUGGUUGAACUUUCG